AUUGAACGCUGGCGGCAUGCCUUACACAUGCAAGUCGAACGGUAACAGGUCUUCGGAUGCUGACGAGUGGCGAACGGGUGAGUAAUACAUCGGAACGUGCCUAGUAGUGGGGGAUAACUACUCGAAAGAGUGGCUAAUACCGCCUGAGAUCUACGGAUGAAAGCAGGGGAUCGCAAGACCUUGUGCUACUAGAGCGGCCGAUGGCAGAUUAGGUAGUUGGGGUGAUAAAAGCUUACCAAGCCGACGAUCUGUAGCUGGUCUGAGAGGACGAUCAGCCACACUGGGACUGAGACACGGCCCAGACUCCUACGGGAGGCAGCAGUGGGGAAUUUUGGACAAUGGGCGCAAGCCUGAUCCAGCAAUGCCGCGUGCAGGAUGAAGGCCUUCGGGUUGUAAACUGCUUUUGUACGGAACGAAAAGCCCUGGGUUAAUACCCUGGGGUCAUGACGGUACCGUAAGAAUAAGCACCGGCUAACUACGUGCCAGCCGCCGCCGUAAUAC
rnacentral:rRNA from 1 species